rnacentral:rRNA from 1 species
UCGCGCGAUGAGAUCUCUUCUUGGUAUGGAUUACCGGCGUACGGCGUGAGGAACACAUGAAGAAUCUGCCUUCAACUCUGGGAUAACACCGGGAAACCGGUGCUAAUACCGGAUAUGAGCCUUGAUCGCAUGAUCGGGGCUGGAAAGUUUUUCGGUUGAAGGUGACUUCGCGGCCUAUCAGCUUGUUGGUGAGGUAAUGGCUCACCAAGGCGACGACGGGUAGCCGGCCUGAGAGGGCGACCGGCCACACUGGGACUGAGACACGGCCCAGACUCCUACGGGAGGCAGCAGUGGGGAAUAUUGGGCAAUGGACGAAAGUCUGACCCAGCGACGCCGCGUGAGGGAUGAAGGCCUUCGGGUUGUAAACCUCUUUCAGCAGGGAAGAAGCGAAAGUGACGGUACCUGCAGAAGAAGCACCGGCUAACUAUGUGCCAGCAGCCGCGGUAAUACAUAGGGUGCAAGCGUUGUCCGGAAUUAUUGGGCGUAAAGAGCUCGUAGGUGGUUAGUUACGUCGGAUGUGAAAAUCUAGGGCUCAACCCUAGACCUGCAUCCGAUACGGGCUAGCUUGAGUUUGGUAGGGGAGACUGGAAUUCCUGGUGUAGCGGUGGAAUGCGCAUAUAUCAGGAGGAACACCAAUGGCGAAAGCAGGUCUCUGGGCCAAUACUGACACUGAGGAGCGAAAGUGUGGGGAGCGAACAGGAUUAGAUACCCUGGUAGUCCACACAGUAAACGAUGGGCACUAGUUGUGGGAACCUUUCCCGGUUUCUGCGACGCAGCUAACGCAUUAAGUGCCCCCCCCUGGGGGAGUACGAUCGCAA